rnacentral:rRNA from 1 species
CGCAACAAAGACACCAGAGCUUGCUCUACCGUCUUUGUUGAGUAGCGAACGGGUGAGUAACGCGUGGGUAACCUGCCUUAUAGCGGGGGAUAACUAUUGGAAACGAUAGCUAAUACCGCAUAACAAUAGAGAUUGCAUAAUCUUUAUUUGAAAGUGCCAACUGGUACACUAUGAGAUGGACCCGCGUUGUAUUAGCUAGUUGGUAGUGUAAUGGACUACCAAGGCGAUGAUACAUAGCCGACCUGAGAGGGUGAUCGGCCACAUUGGGACUGAGACACGGCCCAAACUCCUACGGGAGGCAGCAGUAGGGAAUCUUCGGCAAUGGACGAAAGUCUGACCGAGCAACGCCGCGUGAGUGAAGAAGGUUUUCGGAUCGUAAAACUCUGUUGUUAGAGAAGAAUGUUGAUUAGAGUGGAAAAUUAAUCAAGUGACGGUAUCUAACCAGAAAGGGACGGCUAACUACGUGCCAGCAGCCGCGGUAAUACGUAGGUCCCGAGCGUUGUCCGGAUUUAUUGGGCGUAAAGCGAGCGCAGGUGGUUUAAUAAGUCUGAUGUAAAAGGCAGUGGCUCAACCAUUGUGUGCAUUGGAAACUGUUAGACUUGAGUGCAGUAGAGGAGAGUGGAAUUCCAUGUGUAGCGGUGAAAUGCGUAGAUAUAUGGAGGAACACCGGUGGCGAAAGCGGCUCUCUGGACUGUCACUGACACUGAGGCUCGAAAGCGUGGGUAGCAAACAGGAUUAGAUACCCUGGUAGUCCACGCCGUAAACGAUGAGUGCUAGUUGUUUAAUUCCAUGUGUAGCGGUGAAAUGCGUAGAUAUAUGGAGGAACACCGGUGGCGAAAGCGGCUCUCUGGACUGUCACUGACACUGAGGCUCGAAAGCGUGGGUAGCAAACAGGAUUAGAUACCCUGGUAGUCCACGCCGUAAACGAUGAGUGCUAGUUGUUUGGGGCUAUCCAGCCCUAAGUGACGCAGCAAACGCAUUAAGCACUCCGCCUGGGGAGUACGACCGCAAGGUUGAAACUCAAAGGAAUUGACGGGGGCCCGCACAAGCGGUGGAGCAUGUGGUUUAAUUCGAAGCAACGCGAAGAACCUUACCAGGUCUUGACAUACUCGUGCUAUUCCUAGAGAUAGGAAGUUCCUUCGGGACACGGGAUACAGGUGGUGCAUGGUUGUCGUCAGCUCGUGUCGUGAGAUGUUGGGUUAAGUCCCGCAACGAGCGCAACCCUUAUUGUUAGUUGCCAUCAUUAAGUUGGGCACUCUAGCGAGACUGCCGGUAAUAAACCGGAGGAAGGUGGGGAUGACGUCAAAUCAUCAUGCCCCUUAUGACCUGGGCUACACACGUGCUACAAUGGUUGGUACAACGAGUCGCAAGACAGUGAUGUCAAGCUAAUCUCUUAAAGCCAAUCUCAGUUCGGAUUGUAGGCUGCAACUCGCCUACAUGAAGUCGGAAUCGCUAGUAAUCGCGGAUCAGCACGCCGCGGUGAAUACGUUCCCGGGCCUUGUACACACCGCCCGUCACACCACGAGAGUUUGUAAUACCCAAAGCCGGUGAGCUAACC